rnacentral:rRNA from 1 species
GGGGCCUACGGGGGGCAGCAGUGAGGCCUCUUGGUCCCUGUUCGGACGCCUGAACCAGCCAAGUCGCGUGAGGGAAGAAGGCCCUGCGGGUCGCAGACCUCUUUGGACGGGGAGCAAGGCCGCCGACGUGUCGGCGGAAGGAGAGUACCCGUAGAACAAGCAUCGGCUAACUCCGUGCCAGCAGCCGCGGUAAUACGGAGGAUGCGAGCGUUAUCCGGAUUUAUUGGGUUUAAAGGGUGCGCAGGCGGCACGGCAAGCCGGCGGUCAAAUCGCGGGGCUCAACCCCGCCCAGCCGUCGGAACUGC